CCUACGGGUGGCAGCAGUGAGGAAUAUUGGUCAAUGGACGAGAGUCUGAACCAGCCAAGUAGCGUGAAGGAUGACUGCCCUAUGGGUUGUAAACUUCUUUUAUAUGGGAAUACAGUGAGGAACGUGUUUCUUUUUGUAUGUACCAUAUGAAUAAGCAUCGGCUAACUCCGUGCCAGCAGCCGCGGUACUACGGAGGAUGCGAGCGUUAGCCGGAUUUAUUGGGUUUAACGGGUGCGUAGGUGGUUAAUUAAGUCAGCGGUGAAAGUUUGUGGCUCAACCAUAAAAUUGCCGUUGAAACUGGUUGACUUGAGUAUAGUUGAGGUAGGCGGAAUGCGUGGUGUAGCGGUGAAAUGCAUAGAUAUCACGCAGAACUCCGAUUGCGAAGGCAGCAUACCGGCGCGCAACUGACGCUCAUGCACGAAAGUGUGGGUAUCGAACAGGAUUAGAUACCCGUGUAGUC
rnacentral:rRNA from 1 species